rnacentral:rRNA from 1 species
GUUGCACUAUCGUUAACUGAAUACAUAGGUUAACGAGGCGAACCGGGGGAACUGAAACAUCUAAGUACCCCGAGGAAAAGAAAUCAACCGAGAUUCCCCCAGUAGCGGCGAGCGAACGGGGAGCAGCCCAGAGUCUGAAUCAGCUUGUGUGUUAGUGGAACGGUCUGGAAAGUCCGACGGUACAGGGUGAUAGUCCCGUACACCAAAAUGCACAGGCUGUGAACUCGAAGAGUAGGGCGGGACACGUGGUAUCCUGUCUGAAUAUGGGGGACCAUCCUCCAAGGCUAAAUACUCCUGACUGACCGAUAGUGAACCAGUACCGUGAGGGAAAGGCGAAAAGAACCCCGGCGAGGGGAGUGAAAAAGAACCUGA